rnacentral:rRNA from 1 species
CCUACGGGUGGCAGCAGUGAGGAAUAUUGGUCAAUGGGCGUAAGCCUGACCCAGCCAAGUCGCGUGAGGGAUGCAGGUUCUCUGGAUCGUAAACCUCUUUUAUAAGGGAAUAAAGUGUGGGACGUGUCCUAUUUUGUAUGUACCUUAUGUAUAAGGAUCGGCUAACUCCGUGUCAGCAGCCGAGGUACUACGGUGGAUCCGAGCGUUAUCCGGAUUUAGUGGGUUUAAAGGGUGCGUAGGCGGCCGUUUAAGUCAGCGGGGAAAGUCUGUGGCUCAACCAUAGAAUUGCCGUUGAAACUGGGGGGCUUGAGUAUGUUUGAGGCAGGCGGAAUGCGUGGUGUAGCGGUGAAAUGCUUAGAUAUCACGCAGAACCCCGAUUGCGAAGGCAGCCUGCCAAGCCAUGACUGACGCUGAUGCACGAAAGCGUGGGGAUCAAACAGGAUUAGAUACCCGAGUAGGC